GUGCUUGCUUUGGCUGCACAUAUCCUAAAAUUGGAGCAAUACAGAGAAAAUUAGCAUGGCCCCUGAAUAGGCAGGCUGCACAAAUUUUUGAAGCAUUCCAUAUUUUG
ensembl:snRNA U6 U6 spliceosomal RNA